CCCUUAGAUGUCCUGGGCCGCACGCGCGCUACACUGAUGCAUGCAACGAGUUUAUAACCUUGGCCUGAAAGGUCUGGGUAAUCUUUUGAACGUGCAUCGUGAUAGGGAUAGAUUAUUGCAAUUGUUAAUCUUGAACGAGGAAUUCCUAGUAAACGCGAGUCAUCAGCUCGCAUUGAUUACGUCCCUGCCCUUUGUGCACACCGCCCGUCGCACCUACCGAUUGAAUGGUUCGGUGAAGAUCUCGGACUUCGAUAUUUAUUCUUUAUUGAGUUUAUAUUGUGGGAAGUUAUCUAAACCUCAUCAUUUAGAGGAAGGUGAAGUCGUAACA
rnacentral:rRNA from 1 species